GACGUAGGGGGCAAGCGUUGUCCGGAAUCAUUGGGCGUAAAGCGCUCGUAGGUGGAUCGGUAAGUCUGCAAAGAAAGACCCGGGCUCAACUCGGGGAACGGUGUGGAUACUACCGAUCUUGAGGCAAUCAGAGGAUGAUGGAAUUCCCGGUGUAGCGGUGAAAUGCGUAGAUAUCAGGAAGAACACCCGUGGCUAAGGCGGCUCUCUAGUACGGUACUGACGCUGAGACGCGAAAGCGUGGGGAGCGAACAGG
rnacentral:rRNA from 1 species